rnacentral:lncRNA from 1 species
UAAGCUUUAAUAUGAAUUUGUAGUUUUGUUCAAAUGGAAUUUGUAGUUUUUCUUUUUAAUUAAUUGAUGAAUGUUUGAUAUUCUAUUUCACGGGUUCAAUCAUGUUUUUCCCAUUGUGUAAUAAAACUUUCAUGCUUUUAAAAGAGAAAAGAAUUAUUAAAGAUUAAUAGAAUUUCGUUGAAGAUUAUUUUUUGAUAGUUUGUUGUCAAUGGUACAAGUUAUGCUUAGAAUACUUCUAAAGGAAAUUAAAAAGAGCUUUAAUUAUUUUGAACAACUACAAUGGAAAAUAUUUUGUGGAUCAAAUUAAUAAGAGUUGCAUGCUUAUGUUAAAAGUGAAUUAAAUUUUCUUUAAAUCAAAUCCUAUUUAAAUCUACUUCUCUAUCUUAGUUGUUCUGUUUCAACUCUGUUAUUCUCUUUACACCGCUCUCUGUAGAUAUGACACUUGGACUUCCAAGCUACACUGCUAUACAACACCUUCGCUUGGGUUUUGGAUCAGACGAAAUAAAAAUUACACUCAUAUUAAAAGCUUUCUCCCUAGCCUUAGCUAGGGAGUUAGUUUCCCAUAAAAUAAAACUAGAAGAAUUGGAGGAAGGAGAGAGAGCUCAAGAGAAGAUUGUGAGCUUCGUGUAUGUUUUGAAGCUUGAAGACAUAGGGCUAAGACGGAGAAACAUCAUGAUGGAUUCCAACACCAUCAUUCCUAUUUUAAUGCAAUACCUAACUACCACUUCAUCUUGCCUAUGUUAGUGUGGUUGAAAUCAAUUCCAUUGUUGAAUUGUUUUCUCUUUUUCUUGUGGCUUUCAUCCUAUUUUUAGAUAAUAUGCAUUGAAUUUGAGCUUCUUUGGAGUGGAUGACACCUUACAAGCAU